rnacentral:rRNA from 1 species
UACGGGGGGGGCAAGCGUUGUUCGGAAUUACUGGGCGUAAAGGGCCAGUAGGCGGCCAACUAAGUCCGACGUGAAAUCCCCAGGCUCAACUUGGGAACUGCGUCGGAUACUGGAUGGCUUGAAUUCGGGAGAGGGAUGCAGAAUUCCAGGUGUAGCGGUGAAAUGCGUAGAUAUCUGGAGGAACACCCGUAGCGAAGGCGGCACUCUGGGCCGGUACUGACGCUGAGGAGCGAAAGCGUGGGGAGCAAACAGG